rnacentral:pre_miRNA from 1 species
GGACCAAGCUGUUCUUCUUAGUUCUUUGCCGAGAGCUUAUGAAAAUUUUGUAGACAUCACAACAUCAAUAUUUUUCAUAAGCUCUCGGCAAAGAACUAAGAAGAAGAACAAUUUGGUUC